AUAUAACAACCCCCUGGAGCCUGAGUCACCAUGGUAACGAGUGUGUGAGCUUUCUUCAGGAACACUUCAGGCCAGUUGAGAUCAUCAACUCAUCAACCGGCCCACGGCAGAUGUCUGAUAGCGACCUUUUGACAUCAGGAAGCUAAAAACUCCACCCUCAGGUCAUGCUAACUCUUGCCAUUUUGUGAACCUGUGUCCUAUGAAGAGGCAUGAAGUCUGACUAUGCUUGCACAGAUUAUCAAUUACCUCACCUCUCCUCAUCUCCAAUGACCUACCUCCACAUUUCAGACCACCUUGCCCCUCAUCCCAUAAAUAUCCUUGAGUCCCUAUUUUUGGGGAAGCAAAUUUGAGGCUCAUGCUCUCGCUUCCUCAUGUGGCUGCUUUGCGACUUGGCCCUGCUUUCCCCAGCUUUGGUGAUGAGGACGUCUCUAGCCCCCCAGGUGUGGGAGACAGUUGCUGUUCAAGAAGCAAACCCCAAACUCGCAGUGUUUCUGAACCAAAUGGAACUCGCCCUAAGUCUACACAGCGGGAACUUCUGCACGACUGAGAGUUUUCUAAUUAACUUCCUGAUAGAAUACAAUUACUAACGGAUAACUAAGAAAAUGUGUCAAAUUGAAGCUUACAUAUGUACUAUUAAAAAGCAAUUGUACCUGCAGAAAUUGUUUAGAACUACGAAAAACACAGGAUUUUUUGUGGAGUAUUUUGUCACAGACAUUAUUCAGAAUUGCAGACACAUGGUGAUCUAAAAAAAUGAACUGACUUCUAGUCAGUUGUAUUCCUGUGUUUAACUUCUCUACAAACCAUGUGUCCUUUACUGCCUGCACGAGGGGCGGGCUGGGCCCGCGACUCCGUCCUUCGUUUGCCGUGGUUUAAAGGACGGUCUUAACGCUGCAAGCUUCUACGUCUGUCCGUUUAAACUAACAGUCUUGAAGUUGAGUGUUUUUAUUUUAGAUCUAAGACCUCUCGAGAGCGAAAGGGCGAACAAACGGAAAGUCUGCUAAAUCCUUUUUCUCAGACAUAAAUGCUUAGGAUUUUUAGAGCAUCUUUUACAAAAUGAGAAUUUGAAGGAAAAAAUGAUGAACGGGGUUUUCCAAGUUCCAGAAGAGUGUUUGGCGCCCUCUUGUGGACAGUUUGAAAAUAGACCUAUCAGAUGCUGUAUAAAUAAAUAAUUGC
rnacentral:lncRNA from 1 species